GGGGGGGCUUGCCUGGUUGCUCUGGCAAGAGAGAGGGGUCGUCAACUCCGUAGUCGAACUGGUCAGUAGCAGCGUCGGUCUCGUAGUCUACCGGAGAGAAGAGGGGGAAGAAAUAAUGAAUACAGAGCAAACAAAGCAUCACAAAAUAUAACAAGGCAAUACGCGGUGUUCGGUGUGCCCUAACGCGGUAGUAGGUGAUACCGGUGAAGGGGGAAAAACAUCCGGGAAAGUAUUCCCGGGGUUCCGUGUUUUCGGGCAGAGGAGCCGGAGGGGGAAAGUUGCGAGUUCGAUAGGUUAGGGGGGUGUGGCGGACGAACGGGUUGCGUAUCCGAAAUCGUCUCGUCGUUCUGAGCAACUUUCAUGUACAAAGUUUUUCCAUCGGAGUUACGGUUAAUUUUUUUAUAAUUUUCCAAAGUUUUAUCAAUAUUCUAGAAUUUUGUGUUUAAUUUAAAUCCGAAUUGACCAAGUCAAUGUGACUAGUCAAAAGGAGAGGUGGUGGCCCACAUGUCAUGGACAUAGGUGUAGAUUACUUAGGCUAAAUUAAUUUAAACUAGGGGCCACAUGGCAUUGUUUAUAUAGACUAAUUAGCACUAAAUUACAUCCUACCUAAACUAGCCCUAAUUAAUCCUAGCCUAAUUAAACCAUGGGCCGGCCGGUGGCAUAGCCAGCCGUGGCUGCGUACACACACGCAACACACAUAGCUAGGGGUUACUUUUGUUCCAACAAAGCAUUUUGCGAUUUUUACAGAAUUUAAUCCAUGCCAUAUUUGAAUUUGGUCCAAUAGAAUAAUUUGGAGGUUGCUAUGUGUACUCCCAACACAAAUUAAUUUCAACGAAGUUAGACUUGGUUUGACCAUAGUUUUGUUGCCAUCCAGAGAGCUAAGAAGAUGGAAAUAGCAAAAGCUAGCCAGCGCUACAGUAACAUUCAGUUACUGUAGCAGCGGCAGCAGAGCAGCGAACGCAGCGGCAGAAGUUAAGGAAUAGCAGCGACGGCAGCAGCUAUGCAUCCGUAGUAGUAACAAGAAGCAGCAGUAGGAAGCAAGUAACAACAGCAGAGUUUCAGCGGCAUCAGCAGUAAAGGUAGUAGGCAGCGGGACAACGCGACUGGGCGCGGGCGCGCGUUGUGCAGGGCCGGAGCUCAGGCACGCAGGGGCAGGGCGGCCAGGGGGCGCGCGGGAGCACGCACGGGGGCGAGGCCACGCGCAGGCGGGCAGACACGGAGGCGCGCGGGCAUGGCGGGGGUCACGGCGGACGACGCAGCAGACGGUGGCUGCGAGGCCGGGCGGCAGUCGGCAGCGGCCAACGCAGCGGCGAGGCGGGCGCGCAGCAACAGUUCAACAGGGGCGGCAGCAGAAGCAUGCAUGGGAGCGCGGGGAGGGGCCAGUUGCGCGUGGGAGCGACCAAGGACGGCCAGAGCCGGGCCAAGCGCAUGCUCGGGCGCGACGGUGUAGCUCUGGAUAGGGGAGGCGGGACCCGGCCUACGGCAAUGAAGGAAAAGGGGAGCGGGGCGCGGGAGCUCACCGUGUGGGCGCAUGGGGGCCCGGUGACGGAUUAGUAGCUGCGGGGCGGUCGGAGUUGACGGAGAUGGUCGAUGACCGAAGCGGACGAGGGCGACGCGAAUCCGGCGAAGGUGGGGGUUCCGGCAGGUCUUCGUCUCCGUAGUGGACGCAGCGGGCGAUGGCGGUCGUCGUGGACGCAACGGUGAGGGAGAAGUGGCCGGUGGUCGCGAGCUUCACCGGAGCGAGCCCAUGUCGGCGCUCGGCGGGGAUGGAUCUGGCGAGGGGGAGGGGGGUGAGGCGGAGAGGACCAGGGAGGGGAGAAGAGAGCAAGCGGGGGGAGUGGUAGAUAUUUUGGCGAGCGGGGAGGUCCAGCGCAGCUCUUAUCCCCUCGUCGGGCGUCGCCGGCGAGGUGGCUG
rnacentral:lncRNA from 1 species